CGCUCAGAUUGAACGCUGGCGGCAGGCUUAACACAUGCAAGUCGAGCGGUAACAGGGGAAGCUUGCUUCCCGCUGACGAGCGGCGGACGGGUGAGUAAUGCUUAGGAAUCUGCCCAGUAGUGGGGGAUAGCCCGGGGAAACCCGGAUUAAUACCGCAUACGUCCUACGGGAGAAAGCAGGGGAUCUUCGGACCUUGCGCUAUUGGAUGAGCCUAAGUCGGAUUAGCUAGUUGGUGGGGUAAAGGCCUACCAAGGCGACGAUCCGUAGCUGGUCUGAGAGGAUGAUCAGCCACAUCGGGACUGAGACACGGCCCGAACUCCUACGGGAGGCAGCAGUGGGGAAUAUUGGACAAUGGGGGCAACCCUGAUCCAGCCAUGCCGCGUGUGUGAAGAAGGCUUUCGGGUUGUAAAGCACUUUCAGUAGGGGAGGAAAACCUUAUGGUUAAUACCCAUGAGGCUUGACGUUACCUACAGAAGAAGCACCGGCUAACUCCGUGCCAGCAGCCGCGGUAAUACGGAGGGUGCAAGCGUUAAUCGGAAUUACUGGGCGUAAAGCGCGCGUAGGUGGUUUGGUAAGCGAGAUGUGAAAGCCCCGGGCUUAACCUGGGAACGGCAUUUCGAACUGUCAGACUAGAGUGUGGUAGAGGGUAGUGGAAUUUCCUGUGUAGCGGUGAAAUGCGUAGAUAUAGGAAGGAACACCAGUGGCGAAGGCGGCUACCUGGACCAACACUGACACUGAGGUGCGAAAGCGUGGGGAGCAAACAGGAUUAGAUACCCUGGUAGUCCACGCCGUAAACGAUGUCAACUAGCCGUUGGGACUCUUGAAGUCUUAGUGGCGCAGCUAACGCACUAAGUUGACCGCCUGGGGAGUACGGCCGCAAGGUUAAAACUCAAAUGAAUUGACGGGGGCCCGCACAAGCGGUGGAGCAUGUGGUUUAAUUCGACGCAACGCGAAGAACCUUACCUGGCCUUGACAUCCAGAGAACUUUCCAGAGAUGGAUUGGUGCCUUCGGGAACUCUGAGACAGGUGCUGCAUGGCCGUCGUCAGCUCGUGUCGUGAGAUGUUGGGUUAAGUCCCGUAACGAGCGCAACCCCUAUCCCUGGUUGCUAGCAGGUAAUGCUGAGAACUCCAGGGAGACUGCCGGUGACAAACCGGAGGAAGGUGGGGAUGACGUCAGGUCAUCAUGGCCCUUACGGCCAGGGCUACACACGUGCUACAAUGGCGCGUACAGAGGGCUGCCAACUCGCGAGAGUGAGCCAAUCCCUUAAAACGCGUCGUAGUCCGGAUCGGAGUCUGCAACUCGACUCCGUGAAGUCGGAAUCGCUAGUAAUCGCGAAUCAGAAUGUCGCGGUGAAUACGUUCCCGGGCCUUGUACACACCGCCCGUCACACCAUGGGGAGUGGAUUGCACCAGAAGUAGUUAGUCUAACCUUCGGGAGGACGAUUACCACGGUGUGGUUCAUGACUGGGGUGAGUCUAAAAA
rnacentral:rRNA from 1 species